rnacentral:lncRNA from 1 species
GUUGAAACAUUAUGUUGCAUGGAUUGGAUAAGAUAAGAGAACCAUUUGAAUUUAGUUUCGGCAGGCUUAUAGCUUAUCAGGGAAUGGAACAUCGUGGAUAUAGGCUCAGUAGUUGGGUCCUUUUGGCUUUGCAUUUGCUUACUCUUUUAGCUGCAUUUCAUAUCACCUGGCCUGCGUUUUGGGUAGCAGUUGCACUCUAUCUUGUCGUAGGAGUGAGUGUAAAUCUCUCUUACCACAGGCAACUUUCCCACCAGAGUUUCAAGCUUCCUAAAUGGCUAGUCCAACCUGAUACCAAAAAGUAAGCAUAUGCAAAGAUUAGUUCAUAAGCCAAAAAAAAAAACUUGAAACUCUAGCAUAUGCAAAGAUCAUUGUCUUCCUCUAGUCUUAACAGUUGCAGCUAAGAACUAUGAUGCAACAGAAAAACCGACAUGAAUGGUCUCAACUAUUGCAUACUGACAAACAGAGCUUCAAGAUAAAAGCCAUAGCUCAAAAGACUAAAUCUGAAACGAAAUGCAGCUUUCCGCUUGCGUAGAGUUUCAAUGCUUCAAAUUGAAAAGCCAACUACAAAGCUUAAAACGAAAACUUACAAUGACAGAGCUUAAACAGCAGCAAGACUACAAAGUACAUGCAUAAUUACUGUAUACUAACAAAAUCAAGAUACAACAAAGAAUAUAAUUUAUAUGAUAGUAAUUCGAGCAAAGCACAAUCCUUCAAGGGUUCAUUAAAAAGGUAGUGCUGGCAGGAAGACAUGUAAAUCAAAUCACCUCCAGUGAACGCCUUCUUCAAGGACGAUGCAACUUCUCAUACACUAAACAUGACUACACACCAAAUUUCUAAAAUACAUUGUUGAGAAACAAUACAACUUGUCUAAACAACCAUUUCAGACAACCUGACUAAAUGAUACAUUGUUGAGAAAUCGACAACAUGAAAUCUACGAAGAGAAGUACAAAACUACGUCCAGUAAAAUGUACAUAAGGAGCACAGAAUAUGUCUCCCAAAGAGAAAAACAGACACUAGUCAAACAGCUGUUUCCAUCCCAACUCAUACAAGGGAGCAUUGAUUUGCUACUCAUAACCCCUAAACCCAAAUACAACUCACAAUUACAUAUUAUACACAGAGAGUAAGGAAAAAAAUACAUAUCGCCCACCCAACAACGAAUAUGUGAGAAUCAUCGCAUUAUGAGGAAUAAAAGUGAUAUUUUCAAUCUCAUGAUCACGAAAAAGGCAACGAAAUAAAAAAAGAAAAAAAAAUACACAAAAGAAGACAGAACAAAAACAUCAACUCUAUGGGACUCAUGGCAACACCCCAAAUAUGGGAAAGGACCACAGAAAGCAUUCAAAACUGCCACUUUUGCAUACCAUAAACUAAUAUGACCUUUCCUUUUGCCAAAAAACCCUGCCAAAGAUCACACUGAUUUUCCAAAAAGGUAUAAGCGACUGCAAGCAUUUCCUUUCCGCAUACAUAGUAUUCAUACCCCCAAUCCUUUCUUUUCAAUAUAAACUGUGUAUAAGAAAUGGUUACUCACAAAACGUUGAUGAAAGCUUCAGAAAACGAUUACUCACAAAAUUUUCCAAAGAGAAGCUUCCACUAUGUUAAAUAUUCACUAGAAAACAAGUGGCACCCUCAAGGGCUGAAGAAAUGGUUUUCCUUCUAGGUCUAGAGUUGAAGAAACGGUUAAAUAUUCGAAUACAAAGCUCGAAAAAGAUCAAGUAUGAUCACAAUAGGUAGAGAGGCCUCUUCUUAAAUCUUAGCUCAUAGCAUAAUUGUUCAACACAUCAAUCCAACUAGAUACCUCGUCACUGCCAAUACAACACCAAUCAUCCUGGACAUGAUACAUCCCUAAUCCACUACUAAGAUCUCCAUAUAAGGGUGAAUUUCUCACACAUUACACUCGAAGAACCACAAAAAUUGAAAACAUCCAUAAGCUGCGAAUGGAUUCCCGAAUGUCAAAUUCUUCAUAAGUAUAUCCAAAAAACAAGCUGCAGUUAGUGACCCAGUGCCAUUCUACUAAAUUUGAUAAUUAUGAAUGUUGGAUUAUAGUUAAUCACCAAAAACCCUAAAAAAAAAACUCAAAACUCCCAUUGAAAUGCAUAAACAAAACCGAAAGGAAUGAACAAAAAGCAAUUGAAUUUGGAAAAUUAAAAAAUUACCCAUUGAAAUGCAAGGCAAAUGAAGCUCACCUGAUCAGACCACUUACAGCGAUAUUGGUCCGUCGUCGAUUGUUUAUAUGUUGGACGACUACGAGGUGGUACGACAAGGAAGGAGAAGGGAGAGGGCGAAGGUGCGAAGGGACGAGGAGCAAGCUGCAGUUGCUGCGGUUGAUGUGCGAAUGUGCGAAUGUGCGAAGGAGAAGGGAGAUGACGGGAUUAAAGGGCGGCUUAGCAGUCCUCUCCGAAUCGGGGGUUCUCGCUAAGGCCUGUUAGCGAGGGACUCAGUCGGGGCGAGUCCCUGCUAAUCCCACUAAACUUAGUCCGGGUAUGGAACAAACACAAGACUGGACUAAAACUUAGUCCAGUCUAGUCUAGUGAGGGCUAGUGAUGCCAAACAAACACACCCUAAAAGUAUUUUUUUUACAUGACGUUGUAUUAUUGAAUAGAAAACUCAUAUGGCAUAAAUUGCUCUUCUAAUUCAUGAUAAAUUAGAAUAUUUUGAGGAUUAGGCAACAUAAUCAUAUCCUAGGAGGAUUGUAUAUUUUUAUCCUAAAUUCCCUCAUAGAUACACUCGAUAAGGAAUAACGUCCUUAUUUCAUUUCUUCUAUAGAAAUAUCUCUGUAUUUGUAUUUCUUCACCAUUGAGUGAGACAAUUAGUUUAUUAACUAAGUUAGGAGUGAAUGUGAGUGAAUCGAAAUCUCGUUCAGAAUGAGGAGUCAAUGAAGGUUUGGUUGUGGUUCUAUUCCCAUACAAGAACUCUCAAGAUCUAUAUA